rnacentral:tRNA from 1 species
GGGCUCAUAGCUCAGCCUGGUAGAGCACUCCGUUUGCAUCGGAGGGGCCGCGGGUUCAAAUCCCGCUGAGUCCA